rnacentral:sRNA from 1 species
AGCAGAGCCAGAGCCCUGGGCGGACGCCGUGCCCUCACAGGCUGGGCCCCGUGCUGAAGGCGGGCUGGCUGAAGAAGCAGAGGAGCAUCAUGAAGAACUGGCAGCAGCGCUGGUUUGUGCUGCGUGGGGAUCAGCUUUUCUACUACAAGGACAAAGAUGAGAUCAAGCCCCAGGGAUUUAUUUCUCUACAAGGGACACAGGUGACUGAACUUCCUCCUGGCCCCGAGGACCCAGGGAAGCACCUCUUUGAGAUCAGCCCAGAGCAAAAACUGGAGUUCAAUAAGGACAGGCCCAACUUGUCACUAACUCACCUUACAGUGCCUGGUGCAAAGUAGGCCCUCAAGAGAUUGCUUGUGAACAUAUACACCAUGGAAUACUAUGCAGUAAUAAAAAAGGAUGAGUUCAUGUCCUUUGUAGGGACAUGGAUGAAGCUGGAAACCAUCAUUCUCAGCAAACUAUCACAAGGACAAAAAAACCAAACACUGCAUGUUCUCACUCAUAGGUGGGAAUUGAACAAAGAGAACACUUGGACACAGGAAGGGGAACAUCACACACUGGGGCCUGUCAUGGGGUGGGGGGUUGGGGGAGGGAUAGCAUUAGGAGAUAUACCUAAUGUAAAUGAAGAGUUAAUGGGUGCAGCACACCAACAUGACACAUGUAUACAUAUGUAACAAACCUGCAUGUUGUGCACAUGUACCCUAGAACUUAAAGUAUAAUAAAAAAAGAAAAAAAA